GCACUGCUGAAGAGUUCCAUAAUGGGACGAAACGGCCGUCCAGUGC
rfam:Schistosoma mansoni strain Puerto Rico chromosome 4, complete genome